ensembl:lncRNA
AUGAGACUUCAAUAUAACAGACUCUACCUAUUCUAUCCCUGUAAAUCUUCACAAUCAUCCUGCACCAGUUCAGGAAGUAUUGUGGGGUCAAAGAGAUACCUCUGCUCCCAUUUUUUACACAGUAAACACAGAGUCCCAAUGGCUGAUCAGCAAUAGAACACACAGAUGCUAUGAAGCUGAAAUUCUCUGAAGAGGCUUCCCUACGCAUUAGCCUGACCUUGGCUGAAUAGAGCAUCAUGACUGUGGACAGAUGGAAUGGUGUGUUUUUCCAUUUGCUGAACCUGCUUUGCUUUGGGAUAAACUCUUUAAGCUGAGUUGUUAUUCUUCAUUGAACAUGUUGGCACCCGAAGUGGAACCCACAUACAAUUAGCUUCAGUUAGAGGAGUCACAACCGAGAGUCAUCUGCAUGAGGUCCUGGGACCCUCCAACCGUGCUGUUGCCUCUUCCAGCUGAUGUUGUUGAAUCCUUUUGGAAGCUUCUGCUUCGGCUGACCUCCCUCUGGUUUCUUCUCUGCCAAUUGUUGGUAUGUGGCUAUUGUGUUCUGUCAAAACAUUUGUAUGAAUUGUCUGUUACUGUUGGAAUUUUUUUGUUUUGUCAGAUACUUCUCAAUCAUCUAAUUCCAUACUUUCAAAUUUUUCUUCAUCUUCUCCUGUUUCUUGUGAUCUUGCUCAUUUUAGUUCAGAACUUUAUGAAUAUAUGAUUAUAAAGACCCCAAAAAUUAGAGGUAUUUUAUUUCCUCAAUCACAAAAAGGUAAAGUUGGGUAAUUAAUUGCCUUGUGGAGGUCUUGGGGGUAAAAUCUCCCUAGGAUGACAACAACUACACAGGGAAAAGUCCCCUAUAACCUUGCUCCUGAGUCAGAGAGGAUUUUUCCAGCUGGUCCAGGAAUAUACACAUAAAAUGUGAUCAUUCAGUAUCUUGAGACUGCUCAUGUCCCAUAAAGUUAGCAUGGUAAGCUUUAGACACAGUGAAACAACUGAGUCUUGGUUGCAUGUAGGUCAACCCAAACCCAGGUCUUGUGGAUCUAUGUGGAAGUUGACAGUCCGCAGCAGAGGGAUGCUACCACUGACAUAAGAAAGACAUUUCAAGAAAAGAGAAGUUGGGAGACCUUGUCCUCUGUCCCCCAAGUUGUUUUCUGACUUAUAACAACAGUCCUGUUCCAUGAGAAUAUUUAGGGAAGUAGAGAGAUUUAACUCAUGGUGACUUAGUUUGGUGUUCCCCUUGGAAGAGAAUGCCUGAUGUUCCUGAAUUGAUUUUCUUAUGAGUUAAAGUAAAGUCUCAGAGCAAUGUAAUGAAAGACAAUGGAAAGGAAGCUUUUGGGUCAUUCUUCAUUGUCAAGGUCCUAUGAUUUGGGUCUAUCUGCUGCAUGAGUAAAGUAAGUGUUUACCUUGGACCAGCCAUGGGAAACAAUGGGAAAUGUUACUUCAACCCCCAAAUGUGCCCUACUGAAUCACAAGCUCUAAAAUGAGGAAAGUUUUGCUCUUUUUUUUUUAACGGACAUUUUUCCUUUGUAAGCUUUGUAUCUGUUGCCUGUUGCCUGCCAGAACUAUACAAAAAUCACAACUCCAGGCAAGGAUUGUGACACACUGCAAGGAUACUCCAUACCUCCUACAGAACACUGCAAACUUUCCACAUUAAGACCUGAAUGAGAAUAAGCUAAAGAAGGUGACUACCUCUACAGGAAGAGACACCACAUCGAAGACUCUCGGCUUCAGCGGGAAGGACAGUGCUAGAAGACACUGCUUACCGUCCUCUGUGCUACAAAUCUUGCAGGGAGAAACUCUUAGAUUCACGGUUUCUAUUUCAACUGCUUACCAACUCCUCCCGAAGGCACUGCUUAUUUGAUUUCAGAAAAUUUGGAUUUGAUUACACAAGCAAUCAAAAGCCACAAGUGAGUGAACCCCAAGCUCCCCAUAUUGAGUCUCCUAUUGACUACAUUCCUUUAAAAAUAUAUUUAGUGUAGUCAUAAAUAUUUACAAAAGGCUCUUAGAAUUUUCUGAGAUAUCUGAAAUGCAUCUUAAAAUGCUUUUUAAAUAAUAAGAACAAUGCUGAACUCAGUGAUCUUAGUU